CGGAGGAUCCAAGCGUUGUCCGGAUUCAUUGGGUUUAAAGGGUGCGUAGCGGGGAAUUAAGUCAGUGGUGAAAGCUUACAGCUUAACUGUAAAAAUGCCAUUGAAACUGAUUCUCUUGAGUUCGAUUGAGGUAGAUGGAAUGUAUCAUGUAGCGGUGAAAUGCUUAGAUAUGAUACAGAACACCAAUUGCGAAGGCAGUCUACUAAGUCGAUACUGACGCUGAGGCACGAAAGCAUGGGGAGCAAACAGGAUUAGAUACCCUGGUAGUCCAUGCCCUAAACGUUGAUUACUCGUUGUUGGCGAUACACUGUCAGCGACUAAGCGAAAGCGUUAAGUAAUCCACCUGGGGAGUACGAUCGCAAGGUUG
rnacentral:rRNA from 1 species